rnacentral:rRNA from 1 species
GGUUAAGUGACUAAGCGUACACGGUGGAUGCCUAGGCAGUCAGAGGCGAUGAAGGGCGUGCUAAUCUGCGAAAAGCGUCGGUAAGGUGAUAUGAACCGUUACAACCGGCGAUACCCGAAUGGGGAAACCCAGUGUGUUUCGACACACUAUCAUGUCAUGAAUACAUAGUGGCAUGAGGCGAACCGGGGGAACUGAAACAUCUAAGUACCCCGAGGAAAAGAAAUCAACCGAGAUUCCCCCAGUAGCGGCGAGCGAACGGGGAGGAGCCCAGAACCUGAAUCGGCUUGUGUGUUAGUGGAAGCGUCUGGAAAGUCGCGCAGCAAAGGGUGAUAGCCCCGUACACUAAAAUGCACAGGUCGUGAGUUCGAUGAGUAGGGCGGGACACGUGACAUCCUGUCUGAAUAUGGGGGGACCAUCCUCCAAGGCUAAAUACUCCUGACUGACCGAUAGUGAACCAGUACCGUGAGGGAAAGGCGAAAAGAACCCCGGCGAGGGGAGUGAAAUAGAACCUGAAACCGUGUACGUACAAGCAGUGGGAGCACCUUCGUGGUGUGACUGCGUACCUUUUGUAUAAUGGGUCAGCGACUUAUAUUUUGUAGCAAGGUUAACCGUAUAGGGGAGCCGUAGGGAAACCGAGUCUUAACUGGGCGAAUAGUUGCAAGGUAUAGACCCGAAACCCGGUGAUCUAGCCAUGGGCAGGUUGAAGGUUGGGUAACACUAACUGGAGGACCGAACCGACUAAUGUUGAAAAAUUAGCGGAUGACUUGUGGCUGGGGGUGAAAGGCCAAUCAAACCGGGAGAUAGCUGGUUCUCCCCGAAAGCUAUUUAGGUAGCGCCUCGUGAACUCAUCUUCGGGGGUAGAGCACUGUUUCGGCUAGGGGGCCAUCCCGGCUUACCAAACCGAUGCAAACUCCGAAUACCGAAGAAUGUUAUCACGGGAGACACACGGCGGGUGCUAACGUCCGUCGUGAAGAGGGAAACAACCCAGACCGCCAGCUAAGGUCCCAAAGUCAUGGUUAAGUGGGAAACGAUGUGGGAAGGCACAGACAGCCAGGAUGUUGGCUUAGAAGCAGCCAUCAUUUAAAGAAAGCGUAAUAGCUCACUGGUCGAGUCGGCCUGCGCGGAAGAUGUAACGGGGCUAAACCAUGCACCGAAGCUGCGGCAGCGACGCUUAGGCGUUGUUGGGUAGGGGAGCGUUCUGUAAGCCGUUGAAGGUGGCCUGUGAGGGUUGCUGGAGGUAUCAGAAGUGCGAAUGCUGACAUAAGUAACGAUAAAGCGGGUGAAAAGCCCGCUCGCCGGAAGACCAAGGGUUCCUGUCCAACGUUAAUCGGGGCAGGGUGAGUCGACCCCUAAGGCGAGGCUGAAAAGCGUAGUCGAUGGGAAACAGGUUAAUAUUCCUGUACUUGGUGUUACUGCGAAGGGGGGACGGAGAAGGCUAGGCUGGCCGGGCGACGGUUGUCCCGGUUUAAGCGUGUAGGGGGUGUGACCUGGUAAAUCCGGUUGCAUAUCAACCCUGAGGCGUGAUGACGAUGCACUACGGUGCAGAAGUAGUUGAUGCCCUGCUUCCAGGAAAAUCCUCUAAGCUCCAGGUAACAUUGAAUCGUACCCCAAACCGACACAGGUGGUCAGGUAGAGAAUACCAAGGCGCUUGAGAGAACUCGGGUGAAGGAACUAGGCAAAAUGGUGCCGUAACUUCGGGAGAAGGCACGCUGGCAUGUAGGUGAAGUCCCUUGCGGAUGGAGCUGAAGCCAGUCGAAGAUACCAGCUGGCUGCAACUGUUUAAUAAAAACACAGCACUGUGCAAACACGAAAGUGGACGUAUACGGUGUGACGCCUGCCCGGUGCUGGAAGGUUAAUUGAUGGGGUCAGCCGCAAGGCGAAGCUCUUGAUCGAAGCCCCAGUAAACGGCGGCCGUAACUAUAACGGUCCUAAGGUAGCGAAAUUCCUUGUCGGGUAAGUUCCGACCUGCACGAAUGGCGUAAUGAUGGCCAGGCUGUCUCCACCCGAGACUCAGUGAAAUUGAACUCGCUGUGAAGAUGCAGUGUACCCGCGGCAAGACGGAAAGACCCCGUGAACCUUUACUAUAGCUUGACACUGAACAUUGAGCCUUGAUGUGUAGGAUAGGUGGGAGGCUUUGAAGCGUGGACGCCAGUCUGCGUGGAGCCAUCCUUGAAAUACCACCCUUUAAUGUUUGAUGUUCUAACUCGGCCCCGUGAUCCGGGGUGAGGACAGUGUCUGGUGGGUAGUUUGACUGGGGCGGUCUCCUCCCAAAGAGUAACGGAGGAGCACGAAGGUUAGCUAAUCACGGUCGGACAUCGUGAGGUUAGUGCAAAGGCAUAAGCUAGCUUGACUGCGAGAGUGACGGCUCGAGCAGGUACGAAAGUAGGUCUUAGUGAUCCGGUGGUUCUGAAUGGAAGGGCCAUCGCUCAACGGAUAAAAGGUACUCCGGGGAUAACAGGCUGAUACCGCCCAAGAGUUCAUAUCGACGGCGGUGUUUGGCACCUCGAUGUCGGCUCAUCACAUCCUGGGGCUGAAGUAGGUCCCAAGGGUAUGGCUGUUCGCCAUUUAAAGUGGUACGCGAGCUGGGUUUAGAACGUCGUGAGACAGUUCGGUCCCUAUCUGCCGUGGGCGUUGGAAGAUUGAGAGGGGUUGCUCCUAGUACGAGAGGACCGGAGUGAACGCACCACUGGUGUUCGGGUUGUCAUGCCAAUGGCAUUGCCCGGUAGCUAAGUGCGGAAAAGAUAAGCGCUGAAAGCAUCUAAGCGCGAAACUUGCCUCAAGAUGAGUCUUCCCUGGGCCUUUAAGGCCCCUGAAGGAACGUUUAAGACUAAGACGUUGAUAGGCUGGGUGUGUAAGUGCAGCGAUGCAUUGAGCUAACCAGUACUAAUGAUCCGUGAGGCUUAACCUU